GUGGGCAGUCAGAACCACGACACAAGUGCCUGAUGGCUCAGUGUACACUCCUUUCCAACGCCUCCAUGCAAGUUCGAUACUGUUGGAGCUCCUCUGUUCCCACUCAAGUUGGAGCGGUGCUUUGUCUCAAGUCUUGGAACUAGGUUUCCUCUUCUCAACAGUGUCCUUCUGUGAACCAAGCCCUCACUGGCCUGAACGUCUAUUCCUUACAGAGGGACCAGUGAGCAAAAGGCUGGCGAGAAGGGAACAGGGAUCGAUGGGGUAAGAUUAAAUCUGAGGCUAGCAAGGACAGGUUCAGACCUAGGACUGGAACCAACCUCAAAACUUGGAAGGAGGCCACCAUUUGUUCUCAAGAGGUGCAAGUGACCUUCAGCUUCCAUGGAUUCUGUAGUGAAGCCGACCUUGUGGCAAGGCUGUGUUCAGCAGUGAGUUUGCAGCUCUUGAGAGAGGAAGUUUCCCAUUUCACCACCCCAGACUUCUCUUACCAAACGGGUACCAGGAGGACCUGGAUUAUGGAUGACUCUUCAAGUUUGUCCUCUUCUGCAAUAAGAUGUUUCCUGUUCAAAUUUGGAGCUGUGACAAAAGGAUAAACCAUCUAGUGAUUGCCAUAUCCAGGGAUCAAUCCCAUAAUCAGCUGCCAAACGGUGACACCAUUGCAUACACUAGCAAGAUUUUGCUGUAUGGACCCAGAUAUAGCUCUCUCUUGUGAGACUAUGCCAGGGCCUAGCAAACACAGAAGUGGAUGCUCACAGUCAGUUAUUGGAUGGGUCACACGGCCCCCAAUGGAGGAGCUAGAGAAAGUACCCAAGGAGCUAAAGGGAACUGCAACCCUCUAGGUGGAACAACAAUAUGAACUAACCAGUAGCCCGGAGCUCUUGUCUCUAGCUGCAUAUGUA
rnacentral:lncRNA from 1 species